rnacentral:lncRNA from 1 species
UUUCAUUCCUACUUUUCCCCUCUAUAUUCACUUUUUUUGUUGAAGUUUAUCCCUCAAUAAAUGACUGUUGCUGUCUCCUUUAAUUUCUAAUGGCCAAACCACACUCAAUUCUAACAGUGAAAGCAGACCAAACUCAACUAUUCAUACAGCUGAGCCAUAAAUAUGACAUUCAGAAGACAAAUCUCCAAGUAGGUUUUUUUUUCUCCUACAAAGGUUCUACAAUUCUAUGGAGAACUGCCAAAAAGUAGUUUCCUUUUCAUUAUCAAAUACCUUUGCAAGCAAGAAACAGAAUAGGUGCAAGCAUUCCUAGCACAUAUCUAAGCAGUAGAAGGUUGCAGCUUCUUUUUCCAUUCAUUCCCAUACAUACACCUUCUUUCUUGUUUUCCCUUUAGCAUUAGCAGCAACACUUCUUUUUUUAAGUCCACCUUCAUGCCUUUGGCUCCAUUUCAUAAUCUUGUUGAAAUUACAGCCUUAUAACCUUAUGGUCAUCACAGAACCAGGCCACCAAUUUACAACAUGCAAGGAUGCUGCUAUGCCAAAAAUGAGCUAUUGACUCCAGCGGAGGUUCCAUGCAGGUGCAGAUGGCUAUGUUUGGUGAAUUGAUGGACUACAACUAUGGCAAGAUGAGUCAUAGAACACUUACAAAAAGUAUAUUUAUCAUACACUGUAAUCUAAUACUACAGGCAUAUCCAGCAUUGAAGAUCAAAUCCAUCAGGGGGCAGGAGAAGCUGCUGGCUCGGCCACAUGAUACACAAAACCCAUGACCCUUGCAAAAGGCUUACAAGGGCAUACAGGUACUUUGGGACUGGCAAUGAGUAAUUCCUACUAGCCUUUGCAGGCUCAGGGGAAUUAAUUGUUGGUUUUGGUUUACAGCCACAAACUAUAUUUUUAACAACAAAGCACACUGUUUGCAAUAGACCUAUUUGUUUUUAAAAACACCAAACAAAUUUGGCAAGGUAAAUAAUUUUUGUGAUCUCAAACCGUGCACUGUUUUGUUACCCCCUGGUCCCCUCUCAGGCAGAUAUCUUGCACACCUUUCACAUAGCUUAUUGGUAGCCUUCUUGUUUUAGAGAAUGCAGUUCUAGAAAUUCAACUGCAAUCUACUUAGUUACUGGUUUGUGAACUAAUCAGUUCCAGUCCAUUGUAUAAGCACCUUAUAAAUCUACCCUAAACAGCAUCUUCAGCUACAUACAGAUACCUUAGAUUGGUUCUAUCUUUUUGAGUAGCAUGGAGGAAGUCAGACACUAUGAGUCUGGUCCCAGUUGGAAAAGUCAUUAAAAACCAUCAGUAACUGAACAAAGAAAUGAAGGUUACUGGCUAAAUUCUAAUUAUGCUUGAAUGCAGUAAUUACUGUAAUGCAUGGACAUAUGUAAUCUACAUAGAAUUGCAAAACACAGAAGACCAGAGGACAAGUUAUAAGCUGCUAUUUAAGGAAGCUUUUGCUUUCCAGCAAAGGGAAAAACAGAACCAGGUAAACAGACCAUUGUGGUUUUCUGGAAAGGUCAUGAAAA